rnacentral:rRNA from 1 species
UACCCAGACUCCUACGGGAGGCAGCAGUGAGGAAUAUUGCACAAUGGGGGAAACCCUGAUGCAGCGACGCCGCGUGAGUGAAGAAGUAUUUCGGUAUGUAAAGCUCUAUCAGCAGGGAAGAACAUGACGGUACCUGACUAAGAAGCCCCGGCUAACUACGUGCCAGCAGCCGCGGUAAUACGUAGGGGGCAAGCGUUAUCCGGAUUUACUGGGUGUAAAGGGAGCGUAGACGGCAGUGCAAGCCUGGAGUGAAGGGAUGGGGCCCAACCCCAUGACUGCUCUGGGAACUGUACAGCUAGAGUGCCGGAGGGGUAAGCGGAAUUCCUAGUGUAGCGGUGAAAUGCGUAGAUAUUAGGAGGAACACCAGUGGCGAAGGCGGCUUACUGGACGGUAACUGACGUUGAGGCUCGAAAGCGUGGGGAGCAAACAGGAUUAGAUACCCGUGUA